GAUGAACGCUAGCUACAGGCUUAACACAUGCAAGUCGAGGGGAAACGACAUCGAAAGCUUGCUUUUGAUGGGCGUCGACCGGCGCACGGGUGAGUAACGCGUAUCCAACCUGCCCACCACUUGGGGAUAACCUUGCGAAAGUAAGACUAAUACCCAAUGACGUCUCUAGAAGUCAUCUGAAAGAGAUUAAAGAUUUAUCGGUGAUGGAUGGGGAUGCGUCUGAUUAGCUUGUUGGCGGGGUAACGGCCCACCAAGGCGACGAUCAGUAGGGGUUCUGAGAGGAAGGUCCCCCACAUUGGAACUGAGACACGGUCCAAACUCCUACGGGAGGCAGCAGUGAGGAAUAUUGGUCAAUGGACGAGAGUCUGAACCAGCCAAGUAGCGUGCAGGAUGACGGCCCUAUGGGUGGUAAACUGCUUUUAUAAGGGAAUAAAGUGAGUCUCGUGAGACUUUUUGCAUGUACCUUAUGAAUAAGGACCGGCUAAUUCCGUG
rnacentral:rRNA from 1 species